GCUGAAGAGCCGCAUGCCGACCCCUGCCAUAGACUCUUAGCGAUUUGUUGUCCUGUAGGUUGAUAAUAUCAUCUCAAUGAAUUUCCCGCACACGUUUCAUUGAUAGACUUUUUGUUUAAAGUAGAGGUAGAAAUCGUGUAUUGCUCAAUGGCCAGUUCCUUUCCAAGUGUGUCCGAGCUUGUUGCGGAGGCUCGGCGUUUGUACGGUGACAUGUUCGGGGAAGAGGCUCCUCUGAUGGCGGUGUGCGCUCCUGGACGAGUCAACCUGAUCGGGGAGCACACUGACUACAACCAGGGAUUUGUACUUCCAAUGGCCUUGCCUCUGGCGACUGUGGUGGUGGGGAGUCAAACUUCUGGACAUGAUGUUACCGUGGUGACAGCAACUAAGGAUGCUGAUGAGCCUCGGAGGAUGGACUUCAGCCUGCCCACUGAUGGAUCACCGCUGUCCCCAGGGUUACCCAGCUGGGCAAACUACGUGAAGGGUGUUAUACAGCAUUACAGGGCUCCUCCCGUCCCGGGUUUCCGGGCAGUGAUAACCAGCAGUGUCCCCCUGGGAGGAGGUCUGUCCAGCUCUGCCUCUCUGGAGGUGGCUUUCUAUACAUUCCUGCAGCAACUUAAGCCAGAUGAUGGAGACAAGAUAUCCAAAGCAUUAGCCUGUCAGCAGGCAGAGCACACUCACGCCGGUGUACCCUGUGGUAUUAUGGAUCAGUUUGUGUCUGUGCUCGGCAGGGAGGGCCAUGCUUUGCUCCUUGACUGCAGGUCCCUGGAGGCCACCCCUGUACCUCUGGCAGAUCCAGGCCUGGUCAUUCUCAUCACCAACUCCAAUGUGAAACAUUCUCUGACCGGCAGCGAGUACCCCACGAGACGCAGACAGUGUGAAGAGGCUGCCUCCAUCCUGGGAAAGGAAAGUCUCAGAGAUGCAACUAUGAAGGACCUGGAGGAGAUGAAGGAUAGACUCGAUGAUGUAACCUAUCGAAGAGCUCGUCAUGUGAUUGAGGAGAUAGAAAGAACUGUCCGUGCUGCUGAAGCCCUGAAGAGAGGAGCCUACAAAGAGUUUGGAAAGCUUAUGGUGGAGAGCCACAGCUCACUUAGGUACAGUCAAAGCAGCUGUGGUGCAUCUGUUGAAUGUAGAGUCACUGUUCAAGACAGACUGGUGUUUGGUAGCCGAAUGACAGGUGGAGGCUUCGGGGGAUGCACUGUGACUCUGCUGCAGGCCCACGCCAUUGACAGGACUAUACUGCACAUUCAGGCAUUCUCCUGCUCCUGCUUCCCCACCUUCUGCUGACGCCAGGAGGGAGUCAGAGGAAGCCAUGCUGGUUGGAAGCACUCAGCUCUCUCCUGAGGAACACCUUUGUAGACGCAAUGAGGGCCGGCAGUUCUCACAGAUUCCUCCCUGCCUGCCUCCCCUCUAGACAGCGAUGUGAUGUAUUUGGUCACUCACUACACUUCUCCAGUUACACUCACCUAAACACCCUCUUGUCCUGGGUUAUCCCUGGUUAGUUCUGCACAAUCCUCAUAUGGACUGGUCCUCCAGCAAAGUUCUGUCGUGGGAGAGUAACUGUAAGACGCAGUGCCUGGUGGGCUCCUCUGUUGCCACCCUGCAGGGAGCAUCCACCUCACCCAAGGGGGUCGACGACAAGGAGUUUCCUCAUCUGUCCUCUGUUCCACCCUGCUACCUGGACCUUAAGCAGAAUGUCAGGCCAUGGAGGACUACAUAGGAGCUUCCCUCACGGCUGGGAUCAUCAGGCCUUCUUCAUCACCUGCUGGAGCUGGAUUUUUCUUUGUGGGGAAGAAGGAUAAGACUCUUCGACCCUGCAUCGAUUAUCGGGGUCUUAACAAGAUCACAGUAAAGAACAGGUAUCCUCUCCCUCUCAUUGCCUCUGGGUUUGAGCUUCUCCAGGGGUCCAAGGUAUUUACCUCUUUGGAUUUACGCAACGCCUAUCAUUUGGUCCACAGAAGAUGGCAUUUAAUACACCGACCGGACAUUAUGAAUAUAUGGUUAUGCCUUUUGGUCUCACUAAUGCUCCUGCUGUGUUUCAAUCACUGGUGAAUGAUGUUCUUCGUGAGUAUCUCAAUAAGUUUGUGUUUAUGUAAUCAACAACAAAUCAUUAUACUUUGGUAGAUCAUAAAACAAAUGUUUACAUGCUUUCUUUAGCUUACUUGUUCACCUCAUGGUGGUUUAUAAACUGAGAUAAACAUUUUUUUGCAAUGAUAUAAAGUCAGCGCCAAGAAAAUGGGUCACUGGAAUGAGCUGGAACUAUUCCAUCAAUACAAAAUUUUGAGGCACUCAAAACAACUGAGCUAUUACAACAACAAUUCAUUUUUUAGUGAGAUUAUAUUCAUGAGUCCAACUUUUUUUCCAAGUUGAACUUAUGUUACUUCUUUUAUCAAGAUUUACUGUUAGGUUUUAUAGUGAAACAGGUCAGGAAAAGGAGUAAAUUACAUCCAUCUUGGAUUGAAGAGAAUGCGUAUGAAAAUGCUGAAAGUUACUUUUCAUUUAGAUACCAUAUUUGUUAUAAAGUUUGCACUUUUCCUUUUCAAGCAUGAGUGACUGGGACCUUGUUGUGGAGGCAUCAUUAAAUGAGAGUUGUGAACA